GGCUUACGCUUGAAUGUUAAUAGCAUGGAACGAACAAUUGUGUAAAAGUGUCUGUACUUACAAUUUGGUGGAUUUAUCUGUCAAGUUGUGGGUGCAGUUCACAUCACCAACCGCCAAUAACGGAUGUUGGUUUCCGUAUUGGGGUGAUGAUUAAAAGGAGCGAUUGGGGGCAUUGGUAUUUGGCCGCGAGAGGUGAAAUUCUUGGACCGGCCAAGGACUAACAAAUGCGAAGGCAAUUGCCAAGAUCGUUUCCAUUAAUCAAGAACGACAGUCCGAGGUUCGAAGUCGAUCAGAUACCGACUUAGUUCGGACCGUAAACUAUGCCGACCCGAGAUCAGUUUUGAGCUAAUUAAACGCUCGAGGUUGCUCUCCCUGGGAAACCUUAAGUUUUUAGGUUACGGGGGGAGUAUGGUUGCAAAGCUGAAACUUAAAGGAAUUGACGGAAGGGCACCACCAGGGGUGGAGCCUGCGGCUUAAUUUGACUCAACACGGGAAAACUCACCUGGUCCGGACAUCGAAAGGAUAGACAGACUGAUAGAUCUUUCUUGAUACGUUGGUUGGUGGUGCAUGGCCGUUCUUAGUUCGUGGAGUGAUCUGUCAGGUUGAUUCCGGUAACGGACGAGACCAUAUUCUCCAUUUAAGGAAUGCAAAAACUCAGUCAAUGUGUGUUGGUUCGCUAACAUGUGUUGACUGUAGCUGGUUGUCACUGAAUAUCCGGAUAGAAUUUGACAGUAUGAGUGAGAGUGUCAAAACUUGAGCAAGUAUUGUUGGAAACCAUUCGGGGAUGCUGUACGCCUUUGCAAUAAACGGUGGCAGGCAACUGUUCACUGUCUUAUGGAGAGACAAAGCAGAAUACGUCAAAGUGCUAGGAGGUGUGGCGAUAACAGGUCUGUGAUGCCCUAAGAUGUUCAGGGCCGCACGCGCGCUACAAUGAUAACGUCAGCGAGUAUCUGGGUUGUCAAACUUGGGUAAUCUUGUCAAUCGUUAUCGUGAUGGGGAUUGAUCGUUGUAAUUGUCGGUCAUGAAAGAGGAAUCCCUAGUAUGUGCACUU
rnacentral:rRNA from 1 species